rnacentral:rRNA from 1 species
AUGCAGAGAACUUUCCAGAGAUGGAUUGGUGCCUUCGGGAACUCUGACACAGGUGCUGCAUGGCUGUCGUCAGCUCGUGUCGUGAGAUGUUGGGUUAAGUCCCGUAACGAGCGCAACCCUUGUCCUUAGUUACCAGCACGUUAUGGUGGGCACUCUAAGGAGACUGCCGGUGACAAACCGGAGGAGGGUGGGGAUGACGUCAAGUCAUCAUAGCCCUUACGGCCUGGGCUACACACGUGCUACAAUGGUCGGUACAAAGGGUUGCCAAGCCGCGAGGUGGAGCUAAUCCCAUAAAACCGAUCGUAGUCCGGAUCGCAGUCUGCAACUCGACUUCAUGAAGCUGGAAUCGCUAGUAAUCGUGGAUCAGCCAAGCCGCGGUGAAUACGUUCCCGGGCCUU